rnacentral:rRNA from 1 species
UNCCCGAGCUUAACUUGGGAACUGCGUUUUGAACUGGUAAGCUAGAGUACGUCAGAGGGGGGUAGAAUNCCACGUGUAGCAGUGAAAUGCGUAGAGAUGUGGAGGAAUACCGAUGGCGAAGGCAGCCCCCUGGGACAAUACUGACGUUCAUGCUCGAAAGCGUGGGUAGCAAACAGGAUUAGAUACCCUGGUAGUCCACGCCCUAAACGAUGUCAAUUAGCUGUUGGGGCACUUGAUGCCUUAGUAGCGAAGCUAACGCGUGAAAUUGACCGCCUGGGGAGUACGGUCGCAAGAUUAAAACUCAAAGGAAUUGACGGGGACCCGCACAAGCGGUGGAUGAUGUGGAUUAAUUCGAUGCAACGCGAAGAACCUUACCUGGUCUUGACAUGUACGGAAUCUUCCAGAGACGGAAGAGUGCCUUCGGGAGCCGUAACACAGGUGCUGCAUGGCUGUCGUCAGCUCGUGUCGUGAGAUGAUGGGUUAAGUCCCGCAACGAGCGCAACCCUUGUCAUUAGUUGCCACCAUUCAGUUGGGCACUCUAAUGAGACUGCCGGUGACAAACCGGAGGAAGGUGGGGAUGACGUCAAGUCCUCAUGGCCCUUAUGACCAGGGCUUCACACGUCAUACAAUGGUCGGUACAGAGGGUAGCCAAGCCGCGAGGUGGAGCCAAUCUCAGAAAACCGAUCGUAGUCCGGAUUGCACUCUGCAACUCGAGUGCAUGAAGUCGGAAUCGCUAGUAAUCGCAGGUCAGCAUACUGCGGUGAAUACGUUCCCGGGUCUUGUACACACCGCCCGUCACACCAUGGGAGUGGGGGAUACCG